AUUGAACGCUGGCGGCGUGCUCAACACAUGCAAGUCGAACGAUGAACCAGGGCUUGCCCUGGGGAUUAGUGGCGAACGGGUGAGUAACACGUGGGCAACCUGCCCCUGACUCUGGGAUAACUCCGGGCAACCGGGGCUAAUACCGGAUACGAGUUUCGACGACAUCGCCGCGGCUGGAAAGUUUUUCGGUCAGGGAUGGGCCCGCGGCCUAUCAGCUAGUUGGUGGGGUAACGGCCCACCAAGGCGACGACGGGUAGCCGGCCUGAGAGGGCGACCGGCCACACUGGGACUGAGACACGGCCCAGACUCCUACGGGAGGCAGCAGUGGGGAAUAUUGCGCAAGGGGCGAAAGCCUGACGCAGCGACGCCGCGUGAGGGACGACGGCCUUCGGGUUGUAAACCUCUUUCAGCAGGGACGAAGCGAAAGUGACGGUACCUGCAGAAGAAGCACCGGCCAACUACGUGCCAGCAGCCGCGGUAAGAG
rnacentral:rRNA from 1 species